rnacentral:lncRNA from 1 species
CUACACUAUAUGUUACAAGUGGGUUCCGGCAGGUGCUCGCGUUAUAUUUGUAUACCAGUUGGACCGCGAGAUGUAUUUGUUUGGAAGGUUAUCGUUGCCGAGUUUGUUGUGAAGAUAAUGCAGCGGCGCGGCGUGUACCUGUGUUGGCGCAGUCGCAGAGCAGCUGGUUGUGCGCGGUGACGCAGCGGCCGCCGUGCAGGCAGGCGGGCUGCGCGCCGCGCGCCGCCUCCGCGCAGCCGUCGCGCUCCUCCGAGCAGCGCGCGCCGCGCCAGCCCUCCGCGCACGCGCACCACGCGCUCUGCACGCACACACACACGUCACUCACUUCAGCCACCUACCGUGGCCCUCCACCAUCCGAGCCCCGUAAUUAUAGGCGGUUAGGAAAAGUAGUGAGGCUCAUCUUCGCGGAUGAACUGAUCGAUUACCAUGUCAAAAGGGUAAAUUAGAGUGAAAUGAGUACAAAUAUAGCAUUAGACACGUGUGUGUGAUUACCUCGGUGUCGUUGACGCACGUGCCGUGCACGCAGGGCGUCAGCUCGCAGAACGCAUGCUCGCAGUACUCGCCCUCAUACCCCUUCAAACACGAGCACUUGAAUGGAUUACCGGUCACCGGAUCUGGACAAUGACAUCAUUUAUUGAUAUAGGACUUUAGUAACAAAGUAUUAAAUAAAGAGAAGAGUACCAUUGUAAUGGUUAGUUAAAGCAUUAGAAAAUAUUUUUUUUUUAUUUAUCAUAAUGGCGAAUAACGUUAUUAACUCGAUUUCAUCCAAUAAUUAUUUAUGUAAAUUGAAAUAAUAUGGUAAUAACAUACCGGGAUCGGUAUCAGUGCAAGAGCCGUGGAUGCACGGUCGAUGUGCGCAAGAGCGCGCGUGCGGCAGCUCGCAGACGCGGCCGCGCCACGCGCCGGCGCACGCGCACCGGAACGAGCCCGGCUCGUUCACGCACGUGCCGCCGUGCUGGCACGGGGACGACACGCACUCGUCGAUGUCCACGGAACACCUGGCAACAUCAAACACUUUAUAAUCUUCGUACUAAGACAGAGUCGUACCUGGCAGUACUCGCCCGAGUAUCCGGGCGGGCAGGCGCACGCGUAGGAGGAGCGCACGUCGGCACAGCGGCCGCCGUUGGCGCAGUCCGUCUCCAGGCACAGCACGCACUCCACGCCCUGCGACGCGCCCCACCCGCGACCCGACCUGCGCGUACACACCGAUAUACUUAUCGACCAAUGAAGGUAUUAUAUGAUACAGCAAAAACGUUGUUAAAAACUAUUCAUUUCAUUCAUUAAAGCAUCCAGUAAAUUAAUAUAUUCUUUAUUUAUUUAUAAAAGUUUUAAUAAAGGCACUCUACAUAAUAAACGAGGGUAAAAUAAUUAUGGUGGAGUAUUUUAUAUGAAUAAAUGACAGUGUAUUUAUUAAGGCUGUUGCAACUCACACAAGUGCGUAGUGCGGCUGUCCGGCGAGCAGACGCGCGGCGGCGCCCACGAACAGCUCUUCCUCGGUGAAGAACGGCAGCAGCAGCGAGCCCACGUGCACUGCGCCCACGCAACCCUACACAACACACAGUUGUAAAGCAGUCACCACACCAAUAUAAAUACAUAUCCACAAAAAAAAUGUUUUAUAAAUCACGUUCUAUUUUUAUGUUACACGUCCUAUACUUUUGUUUACGAACCUUGAAAUAUUUUCCUUCUAAGUUAUCUCCGGGAGUUUCCUCGCCUUCCGAGUUAUCCCAAGUGCUAGGAUCCGUGGAGCCAUCAGUCUGAAAAAUGUAUUGUUUGAAAAAAAAAUAAUCAGAAUAUUAUAUCGUAUAUUAUCGUGCGCAACUAUGUCCAACAUUAGCUAGGUUUAACAUAUGUAGCUAGUGGAGUGAAGUAUAAAAGUUUAUCCGACACAGACCAGUGCAGUGGGCGCGAGCGUGGGCGGCAGGGUGGAGGCGGCGGCGGCGGGCGCGGGGCGGGAGCGCGGCGCGCCGCCGAGGUACAGGCGCCCGUCGCGCACCAGGCGCUGCCACGCGCGCACGUCGAUCGCGCCCGACAGGCCCACCGGCGCGCGCCCCUCCGCGUCCACGAACGCGCCUGCGACACCGACAUCAAUAGUGCAACACGAACGCAUCUGAUACUCUACUCUUUAUGCUUAUAAACUAAACAACACCAUCAAAGCAUAAAACUCUGCUACGAGUCAAACUAUCAUCUCACACCUGUAAUUUGGUCCCUGUGGAAUGUGAACCGUACUGUCGUCCACUGCAGAUGCGAGUGGUGUGCGUGCAUGCGCAGUGCGCGGGGCAGCCGGCCGCCGAGGCGCCACUGCACCGACACCAGCUCCUUGAACACGCCCACGCUGAACCACGCGCCUUCCUCCGCGCUCUCGUCCUCGCUCUCCGCGCGGAACACAGUGCCGCCGGCCUUCGUCCUGUGUGCACCGGGACAUUAAUGUACACAUAACACCAAUGUUGUAGAUGUAAAGCUAGCAAAUUUGACAAUAACUAAACCUAAAUCAACAAAUCAUUCUGGCAGAAAGAGUUACACCAUGACAUGCAUGAGUCAGUGGGAGUGUAGUACCGAUAGGUGAUAGUGAGCGUGUCGGGGCGGUCGUAGGCCUCGUCAGCGGCGAUGGCGACGCCACGCGGCACGCGCAGCUUGUACGUGAGCGUCGUGUUGACGCCGUCGAACGUCGCGUUAGACACGCACUCGUACCUGCGCACACGUGGCAAAAACAUAUUAAUUGCGAGUACAACUCUGUCAAUGAAAAUUACAUUUAAAUUGAAAAAUAUCUGCUCUUCUAAAAGAUCAAACUCCUGUCUCACAGCCAAUUUCUUCUUUGACGGUACAAAUCAAAGUUACUGUUACUUUUCGCUUUAUGAUGUUUGUGAUUUACUUUUACAGUUAAUGGAGAAACUGGCUGAACUAAUCCUCACUAUGUAAAAUAAUUCCCCCAUUUUAUCCACGAGUGUAACUCACCCGGCGUCGAGGUUGCGGCAGUGGGAGUUGAGCGGACAGCCCUGCAGCUGACAGAACUCCACCUCGGCGCAGUCCUUGCCUUUGUAGCCGCGGGGACACGCGCAUCUGUGCACAUACACACAUGCAUAUUAUUAUUAACAUCUAAAGGUCAUACAUGUAUUAAUGAAAGGAUACCCAAAGCCAAUUUAUAUAUUAUCAAUUACUUGGCCUUAUUUUUGUUUAUAAUAUAUUAAUUAAAUCAUGAACUUGUUGAAUGAAAUCAUGAAUCAUGAAAUUGGUCAGAUUCCACAUACAAUAAACUCACUCAAAUAAUAAUUGAAGAAAAAAGAGACAAAGGACCAUUCAGAGUCGUUCCAGGUGGUGGUACAAGUGGCGUUGUGCAGACAGGGUCGUUGUGCGCAUGCGUCGUCGGACACCACUCCGCGCAGCACGCCGGUCGGGUCGAACCACACGUGUCCGAACGGACGCGGCAGCUGCAGACCUGGCACGCGCAGCGGGAAGAACUCCACCACCGUCACGUUCACGCCGUUCGAUACCUGUCGGGAAACAAACGCGAUAUAGUAUUGUUACCUCAAUGAGAUGCAAGUAUCCGUUGUCGAGACGCGUGCCGCCGACGGUGUAGUUCUCUGGCGUCUGGUUGAACCGCAGAUGGACGAGCAGCUCGCCGCCCGCCAGCGACGCGCCCACCUGCGUCUCCUCCGUCUGCCCGUACCUGCACAUGUACCACUCUUAUGCAAUCCUUAAUAACAAAUGUGAUAUCAUUUAUAUUAGAGCCGUCAAAUAAAUUAGCUUUUCAAUAUUUUAUAA